rnacentral:rRNA from 1 species
GACGAACGCUGGCGGCGUGCCUAAUACAUGCAAGUAGAACGCUGAAGGAGGAGCUUGCUUCUCUGGAUGAGUUGCGAACGGGUGAGUAACGCGUAGGUAACCUGCCUGGUAGCGGGGGAUAACUAUUGGAAACGAUAGCUAAUACCGCAUAAGAGUAGAUGUUGCAUGACAUUUGCUUAAAAGGUGCAAUUGCAUCACUACCAGAUGGACCUGCGUUGUAUUAGCUAGUUGGUGGGGUAACGGCUCACCAAGGCGACGAUACAUAGCCGACCUGAGAGGGUGAUCGGCCACACUGGGACUGAGACACGGCCCAGACUCCUACGGGAGGCAGCAGUAGGGAAUCUUCGGCAAUGGACGGAAGUCUGACCGAGCAACGCCGCGUGAGUGAAGAAGGGUUUCGGAUCGUAAAGCUCUGUUGUAAGAGAAGAACGGGUGUGAGAGUGGAAAGUUCACACUGUGACGGUAUCUUACCAGAAAGGGACGGCUAACUACGUG